AUGCUGGCUGUCCCGACUCCAGACCUAGGAUCCCUGUUCUGUGGGGUCGGCCCCCCCGCCCCCCCUGCCCAGAGCUGUGGACAUGCCCCACGUCAGCACUGCCCUCUGAAUCAGCACCACGGACAGCACCAUCGAGCUUUCAGAGGGAUCCCCGGGAACCUGGUGCACAUCUCUUCGCUCAUGAACUCCUCACCAUCUCGACGGUGGAUGACACGUAGCUGGCACUCCUCGCUCCAUGUCCCCGGCACACCCGACUCCUGCGAGCAGAACCUGUGUUCUCUGCAGCAAUGAAGAGGAGGAGCGUGGCCCUGUGAGACAGCAGCGGUGAAGAAAUCGGCCUGGUGCCAGACAGCCAUGACGAAGGGGGAAAGGGGAAGUUUCUAUCCCUUUCGAAAUCUGCCCCUUCUCUUCUGUACUUCUCCCCAUCCCAACCUCGCUUACAAUCACAGCCUCAGGUUCCCUUUCCUCCUUUGAGUCAGGCUCCCCUUGACACCCUCGGAGUCUUCGCCUCCACUGCCUGAGUGUCCCCUCUGCCCAAGCUUCCUGUGACCCAACCUCCAACCUGGGGGGACGGCAGCCCCUCACUCUGCCUGUGGUCCCCUGUCACAGGGAGCUCCAGGCAUUGAACACUUACUGUCUCCCCACUGGACAGUGACUCUCGGGGCAGUGGCUGGGGCUAGCGUGUGAUCUCGUGAGCAGGGAGGGGAUGCCCACUGCGUGGGUGCCAAGGGAGGGAGGACAGUCGGCCUCCUCACACCUCCACCCCCGGCCUCCCCCAUCUCUUGCAUCCCUGUGUCCUGCCCCUGGCAGGACUGACUUCCACAGACAUGCACAGCCUGUGAAUCAGAGGGUCUGGCCAGAAGGGUCCCGUUUUCACUUUGCAGAGAACACCCCCAGAGGGGGGCGGUAUUGGGAGAUGGGGCUUGAGCCCUGCACAAGGCGUGAAUUUGGCUCCCUGAGGACUCUCACCCUCUCUGGCCUCUAGGCCCAGGGCCCCCAGGAGUGGACGUGUGGUGGCGGAUGGCUGAUUCCCAAUGGCUGUCCUGGCCCUGACAGUGUCUGGGUGUCAAGUUCCUCCUCCGUGGCGUGUCACUGUUCUGACAUCACCUGCAUCUUCCUGUCAGGCCUUCCUCUGAAUCUUGCAACUUUUAGUUCCUGAGAGAACAACCCUGACAAACAGACAUUCUGGGGACCC
rnacentral:lncRNA from 1 species